rnacentral:rRNA from 1 species
UUGACGGAGAGUUUGAUCCUGGCUCAGGACGAACGCUGGCGGCGUGCCUAACACAUGCAAGUCGAACGAGGUCGCCUUCGGGCAAUGACCAAGUGGCGAACGGGUGCGUAACACGUGAGGAACCUGCCCCGAAGACUGGGACAACCAUGGGAAACCGUGGCUAAUACCAGAUGCCUUCCUCUGAUCGCAUGAUCGGAAGAGGAAAUGCUCCGGCGCUUCGGGAGGGCCUCGCGGCCUAUCAGCUUGUUGGUGAGGUAAUGGCUCACCAAGGCAUUGACGGGUAGCUGGUCUGAGAGGACGAUCAGCCACACUGGGACUGAGACACGGCCCAGACUCCUGCGGGAGGCAGCAGUGGGGAAUCUUGCGCAAUGGGCGAAAGCCUGACGCAGCAACGCCGCGUGGGGGAUGAAGGCUCUCGGGUUGUAAACCCCUUUCAGCAGGGACGAAAUUGACGGUACCUGCAGAAGAAGCCCCGGCCAACUACGUGCCAGCAGCCGCGGUGACACGUAGGGGGCGAGCGUUGUCCGGAAUUAUUGGGCGUAAAGAGCUCGUAGGCGGUUUAGUAAGUCAGAUGUGAAAGGUUGGGGCUUAACCCCAAGACUGCAUCCGAUACUGCUAUGACUAGAGUCCGGUAGAGGAGUGUGGAAUUCCUGGUGUAGCGGUGAAAUGCGCAGAUAUCAGGAGGAACACCAACGGC